rnacentral:rRNA from 1 species
AUUGAACGCUGGCGGCAUGCCUUACACAUGCAAGUCGAACGGUAACAGGUCUUCGGAUGCUGACGAGUGGCGAACGGGUGAGUAAUACAUCGGAACGUGCCCGAUCGUGGGGGAUAACGAGGCGAAAGCUUUGCUAAUACCGCAUACGAUCUACGGAUGAAAGCGGGGGAUCUUCGGACCUCGCGCGGACGGAGCGGCCGAUGGCAGAUUAGGUAGUUGGUGGGAUAAAAGCUUACCAAGCCGACGAUCUGUAGCUGGUCUGAGAGGAUGAUCAGCUACACUGGGACUGAGACACGGCCCAGACUCCUACGGGAGGCAGCAGUGGGGAAUUUUGGACAAUGGGCGAAAGCCUGAUCCAGCCAUGCCGCGUGCAGGAUGAAGGCCUUCGGGUUGUAAACUGCUUUUGUACGGAACGAAAAGCCUCUUUCUAAUAAAGAGGGGUCAUGACGGUACCGUAAGAAUAAGCACCGGCUAACUACGUG